rnacentral:tRNA from 2 species
UACCGAUUCGGCGCGCGAUUGGCUCGCCAACACCGGUUACGAUCCGGCGUAUGGCGCUCGCCCGCUGCGUCGUUUGGUGCAAACCGAAGUCGGCGACCA